UGCAAAGGUAGCGCAAUCAAUUGUCCCAUAAAUCGAGACUAGUAUGAAUGGCUAAACGAGGUCUUAACUGUCUCUUGCAGGCAAUCGGUGAAAUUGAUCUCCCUGUGCGAAAGCAGGGAUAAACCCAUAAGACGAGAAGACCCUGUGGAACUUCAAAAACAGCGGCCACCCCAAAAUACAUACACACCCACUGGGCUCACUUAUACACUAAGCCACUGGCCCGCGUUUUUCGGUUGGGGCGACCUUGGAGAAAAACAAAUCCUCCAAAAAUUAGACCAACCCUCUAGACUGAGAGCAACCCCUCAACGUGCUAAUAGCAACCAGACCCAAUAUAAUUGAUCUAUGGACCAAGCUACCCCAGGGAUAACAGCGCAAUCUCCCCCGAGAGUCCGUAUCGACAGGGAGGUUUACGACCUCGAUGUUGGAUCAGGACAUCCUAGUGGUGCAGCCGCUACUAA
rnacentral:rRNA from 1 species